rnacentral:lncRNA from 10 species
AUCGCCCGAGGAUUUUCCGCCUCUGCCCUCGUCGGCAGAUCCUGCUCCUACCCACUCCCUAGCUGUGUUCCCGCGGGGAGAGAGGGGAAAGAGGGUCUGAUUUUUUAACGAAGGGAAAGAAAAUAUGCCAUUUCUAGCGCUUCAGCCACACAAAGAAAGCGGCGGAAUGAUCCGCUCUCGGCGACCGCAAGUCCCGGCUCGCCCGGCGCCUGCGCGGCAGCGGGGGUGGGAGCUGCGGACGGCCAUGUGCGCGGCGGAGAGGCCGGGUGGCCACCGAACCUUCCCGCCUGUUCUGCGGGGCGUCUGGGCAUGGCUUUCCCAACCUAGUAACUGCAACUUUUAGCAUCCUACAUGUAGGACUUGGGAAUAUGUGAGACAGCGCCAAGAAUUUAAUCCAGGAGAAUUGACAAGCUUAAAUGAAAUCCAUAUUGCCCACUGAUUUUGUGCAGCUUCAGAUAAGUAAUCUUUCUCCACUUAGCCUUUUGUAACAAUUGAUGUAAUAAAGGUUUGUAGUCUUUGUGUAAUUUAUUAAAGCAUUGUGCCUAAAAUAGAAAAAAAGCAUAGGAACCAUAGGCUGUGUUUUCUUUUGAUUUAAUAUUUUCAUUUCUUCAGUUAAUAGAAAUUUGCCAAAUUCUGAUGUUUUUCUGUAGCAUUAUUUGAAUGAGCAUUGUUUAUUUGAGUGAACAUUCAGCUAAUUGUUACAGAAUCGUUGCCCCCAUUAAUCUUAGGCUGUAGAAUGUAGACAAGUAAAUAGGCAUCAUCAGUAUGAUGAGAGUGAAGCUACUUAAUACUGUGGAAUCAAAUAAAGGAGGAACCCCUUACUAAACCAAGAGGGAGGAAUAAAAUGGAAUGGGACUAGAGAAGCAAUUAGCUUUAAUAAGGGUAUUAUGGAAGACUUUCUAGAUGAGAAGCAGUAAGUACAGAUGUUUGGAGGCAAACACUAGAGAGAUUGUUGGGUAAAGAAGACAAUGCUGGAGGUCUACUUGUGAAGGCCUUGAAUGCUAUGUGCAGAAGUCAGCUUCUGAGAACCAGGAAGAAGAUAUUGAAAGAUUUUAAGUAGAAGAAUCAUAGGAUUGAAUUCAUUUUAGACAGAUCACUGUUACACAAAAAUUUGAGGCAAACAGAAGAGUUUGGAGUAAACAGUAGGCUGUGAGCCAGUAAUGACUUGGACUGAGUUGGUAGCAGGUAGGUGUGAAGAAAAUAAAGUGGUUAUUGGGAGAUUUGGUUAACUGAAAAUGACUGAGGGAGAUAGAUGUCAGGUGACUCCCAAGUGAGUUGGUGGAGCAGCUAGGAGGAUAGUAAUGUCUUCACUGAGAUUAGAAACAAAAUAAGAGAA